GGGCGGGCUCCGAAAGGAGAGCGUGGUGUCUGGAGGUGAUCGGAAGGGACUGGCUGGAGUGUGGCGGGCUGACAGGUCUGAGGCCUGAAGGACUUCCGGGAACCGCAAAGCACGGUGUGCCUCCGCUGUCCUGAAGAAAAAGCCGCGCGCGGACGACUGGCCGGCCCGCGCUUGCAGCUCCCAGAAGUUGACAGGCAUCCUCCGGUGACCGGUGUGAGUAUGGCAUCAGGAUGAUUUGACUGCAAGCAACAGAAAAAUCAAACAAAAAUGGCCUAAGCCAAGAAGAGAAAUGAUUAUUUCACAUUCCAAGAAGUUUGGGAGUCGAGUGGUUAAACGGCUAAUUAAUCUAGAGCUCAACAGUAUCACCCAGGACCCAUUUUCACUAUGGUGGCUAAAGCUCUGCACCCUUCAGGCUUGCACCAUGGCAGCAGCAGUGACAGUAAAGACACCCUUACACCACAAUGCUCCAUGACCAGGGAGAGGGUCUCCUCUCUCCUGCCCCUUUCUGGAGGCUCCACCGAAGAUUUCUCUUCACAUUCCGUUUCUCAUUCCUGAAGCAGUUGCUGGCAACAGGGAUGGACUUACCGCAAUGGGUACAGAGCAACUAAGAUUCACCACUAGGUUUCCUUCGUCAGUCCAGGCAGGACUGUGCGGUUGGAAAAGGGACGGAUGCUGGUCCUGGAAGGGGCGUCGUUAUCUAGAAGCUCCCAACCUAAGUGGGUGACUCAUAGGGAGGGCAAGGAGAGAAGGACACAGCAAGCAACUUACAUGUAAAACAAGACGUGUGGGUUAUUAUGGAAGAAAUUCACAACCAAACUUGGGGUUAGCCCGUAUUGUUUUCCAAGAACUCUAUGUGGACAGUGACAAAAAACAGACCUAAGAACUAGCAGACUGGGCAAAGCUUUUUCACAUAACAACAACAAAAAAAGCAAUUCCUCAGGAAAAAAUGGUCAAUGGGUCAUUGUGUGUAGACAAAACUACAAGUUCUGCUCCAGACUCUGGGGAAACCAUGCUGCCAUCUUCAAGCUGUGGCCAUUCUGUAAUACAGACUACGCUAAAUCACAUGUUGUCAUCAAGGCAGAAUAUUUUGUUCCUUUAUGGGUCAGCCUGGGAUACAAAAUUAGAGAAACUUUGCAAUGAAAAAUCCCUUGUGUCUCAUUGAACUUUUUCCUUAAUUCAAACCUUUCCUUUCACAGUUUUGAUUAGUGCCUUUGCCCAUGUGGACAAUAUUUUAUGAUCAGGUUUUAAGAGUAAUCCAUCCAUGGCUGCUUGGCUGCCUGGAACUUAAAACAACGACAACAACAAUGUCCAGAUAAACCCAAUAAAAUAGGUUUUUAAAUGUGUGUGUGUGUGUGUGUGUGUGUCUG
rnacentral:lncRNA from 1 species